CACAAACCCGCAAAUAAAAUCCGUCUACAGGCAUACAAUGAGUAUGUGGCUUGGCGGCAAUUUAAAGCCAGGCAGGCUGGCUCCAGGGUCCAUUAUGUGAACCACUACACCACAACUAAUACUUCUCCACCAGGCAAAAAUUUACCAUGACCACCUUCGGACGACAGAGUGUAGUUCCACACUGAACUGCACACAGGUGCAGAGUUGGUACACCUGACAACUGCAGAAAUAACCAGGUGUACGCGUUAACAGGAGAUGCCAUUACACAGAGGGCUGGGGUGUAGAGAAGAGAGAUGACGUUCAAAGGACAAAAGUUCAUUAAGCCACGGGCAGCAGCAGUGGUGUCUGAAUCCGCCGCUGAGGACCCUUGAUCGAGGCCUGCUACGCCCCCACGCUUGAGUCAUAAUUGUGUUUUCCUUUCUGGUAAAACCAAUUUCAGCCACAGCCAUCAACAUCCUUUACCCCUCCGAAAGCACCGAGGAAGAACAGAGAGCACCAAGAGAAAGCUUGAGGCAGAUCUGAUAUAUUGGAGUGAAACAUCCCCACCCUAGUAAAUAUGGCAAUUUCCUGUAGCGGCCAGCAUUCGUCUCCAUCCAUCAUGAGAGCAGCCCGGGCUAUUCACUAGAAACAAAUGUUCUAGAUACAGUAUGUCAAACACCGGAUGAUGGAAACCUCUGAGAAGCCACAGGGAGUAUGCUGGAAGCAAACAGACCAGAAUGUUGAAAAGACCUCUGACCAUUUUCCACAGCAGAGCGUAACUUGGAACCAACCUGAAAUAAUGCAUUUGACCUUCAUAAAAGGGUAAUGGAUGGGCAUUUAACACUAGGCCAGCCAGACUUCAGAGAAUAUGAGUUCUAAUAAGGACAGAUGAUGAGGCAAAAAUAAAUUUAAAAUAGGCAAUUAAAACAAAACAAAACAAAACUGCUCCCCAAAGAAGUUUGAGCAGAUAGUCUAUUGUGCAUAUCUGAAGAACGAUCAGCAUCUGACACAGGCUUCAUUUCCUUUUUGGAAACCUCUGCUCACCUGGCCACAGAGGUGCCAGCCUAGGAGCUCCACACUCAACCAAGUUCAGGUUAAAUCCUCAGCCGUGUGUUGGACACCUACCAUGCCCCAGGACGCUGUGCUCAGCCUGUUACAAGCCCAGAAAGCUGAUGAAGGUGCUUUAGUCCCUCUGGGCCCUUUCAUUCUAAAUGAGGUAUUAGACACGGUCAACACCGACUCAUCAGGAGUGAGAGAAAAGUGCUAGAAACGAGAAGCAGAUGCCUGGGAAAUCAGAGGGACUGAGAACAUCUGACUAAUGGAAUUGAUUAAAUUUUGUGGAAGAGAGGGCAUUUGAGGUUCACCUUAAAGGUUUAAUGAUCUCAACUUCUCUUUUACCAGUUGCCUGUUACCUCAGGCAAGUCACUAAACUCUAAGGACUCAGUUGCCUUAUCUAUUAAAUAAAAAAGCAGAAUCUGAACACCUCUGACAUCUUUUAGGUUCUGAUUCGAUGAUUUCAUAUUUUCCCUAAGGGAAGUUGGCAGAUGCUACCCACCACACCUUUUUCCUAUCCCCAUAAGUCACCUGCAGGAUAUAUGUCUCUAUUUCCUCUCCUGAGUCAAAGACAAGAGGGAUUAAGCAUGCCCUGGAUAUCAAGA
ensembl:lincRNA